rnacentral:rRNA from 1 species
AUAUUGUACAAUGGAGGAAACUCUGAUGCAGCGACGCCGCGUGAACGAUGAAGGCUUUCGUGUCGAAUAGUUAUGUCCUUGAGGACGAUAAUGACGGUACCCUAGGAGGAAGCCCCGGCCAAAUACGUGCCUGUAGCCGCGGUAAUACGUAGGGGGCAAGCGUUGUCCGGAUUUAUUGGGCGUAAAGGGUUCGCAGGAGGCCUUUUAAGUCAGAUGUGGAGGACUACAGCUCAACUGUGGUAAGCAUUUGAUACUAAAAGGCUUGAGUUAAGUGGAGGAAAGUGGAAUUGCUAGUGUAGCGGUGAAAUGCGUAGAGAUCCGGAGGAACACCAGAGGCGAAGGCGGCGCCCUGGGCUGCACCUGACGCUGAGCCGCGAAAGCUAGGGGAGCGAACGGG